UUUCGCACCCCGCAAGUCUUAUACAAACUCCAUAAAACUGCCGUGCGCAGGAACAUAGU
rnacentral:sRNA from 1 species